UUAUUUAAAAAUGCACGAUGCUGAAGUUUUAUGAGAUACACCCACAGGUCUGUGUAAACUGAGCUACAUCCGCUGGCCACUGUGACCACAUAUAUUAUUAACUCUUUGUGUGCCAUGGGAAGCACUCAGGUACCAGUCUCCCGAAGUUGAGAGCUGCUUUGAACAGGCAUGGACUGCAGUGGUUUCCGGGAGAUGAAGACAUAGUUGCCAACUUGAUGUGUGGGGCGGCAGCAGCCACCUUGCUACAAUGAGAGGAUAAGCCUGAGGAUGACAGCUAAUACACUGAAGAUCAAUGAGCAUUAAGACUGAAAGAGCCUGGGUCAUUGAUGUCACUGUUGAGGGAAAAGGAACACUCUGAGGCAAGUGCUGUGAAAGUUCCUCCUUUACCACAGCUCUGCGUGAGGAAUGAGGUGCAGGACAAUAGGCAUCGUUACGAACAUCAAGGAGAGAAAAGAACCAAAGGUGCCUCAAUGACUGUUAGCAUGAAUACAUGACGAUGCCCUUACAUGUUUUUCAUAGAGGAGGUGUGUGGGUCAACCUGUGUGAACAUAUGGGAGCCAGCGUUCAAUGCCUCUGAUUCUGCACGACUCUUCCCCAACAUGAACCUUACGAGAUA